GCCUGAGAGAGAAGAGAACCUCCCCCAGCACUCGGUGUGCAUCGGUAGUGAAGGAGCCUCACCUGACCCCCGCUGUUGCUCAAUCGACUUCCCAAGAACAGAGAGAAAAGGGAACUUCCAGGGCGGCCCGGGCCUCCGGGGGUUCCCACCCCAUUUUUAGCUGAAAGCACUGAGGCAGAGCUCCCCCUACCCAGGCUCCACUGCCCGGCACAGAAAUAACAACCACGGUUACUGAUCAUCUGGGAGCUGUCCAGGAACCCGACAGGGAGCCGGACGGGCCACACCAUCCACAGGCACCAAAUGGACGACCCGGCGCUUCAGCCUCCACACAGAGCCCAUCCGUCUUCCCCUUGACCCGCUGCUGCAAAAACAUUCCCUCCAAUGCCACCUCCGUGACUCUGGGCUGCCUGGCCACGGGCUACUUCCCGGAGCCGGUGAUGGUGACCUGGGACACAGGCUCCCUCAACGGGACAACUAUGACCUUACCAGCCACCACCCUCACGCUCUCUGGUCACUAUGCCACCAUCAGCUUGCUGACCGUCUCGGGUGCGUGGGCCAAGCAGAUGUUCACCUGCCG
rnacentral:lncRNA from 1 species